AUUUUAAUAGCUUAUAUUUAGAGCAUAAUAUUGAAGAUAUUAAUGAGAUUAAUUUUCUUAAAAUA
rnacentral:tRNA from 1 species